rnacentral:misc_RNA from 1 species
AAUCGAUCGAUCAAAGCGCGUGAACUGCAUGGCAACUGGCUCUAUUGUCUUCGCGCUCCAACUAUUUUCGAAAUCCAUAGAGAGAUGCCGUGUUCAAGAGUGCGCUCAACCUGACUGAUCCCGAUCCCUAUUUUGCCGGAACCGCAGGAUUUGUAGGGAGCACGCUUCUGGACCUGCACAAGGACAUGUGCGCGUUCGAGCUUCCGGAGGCCGUGCCCGAAAGCGUGCGACGGGCGCACAAUGCGGUUCGACACGUCUAUGUCUACGCCUAUUUC